UAUGCGAUGAAAUUUACUACCCCACCAAUCCUUUGUCUUCCUUGUCCCCGAAGAAGGCCUCCAGCUACACAUUGUGUAUUAUCGGCAAUAUUAAUGAGUGCAACAAGGGGAAUGAUAGUUGCAACCAAUGCGACGACAUCUUUAUCAGACGUAAAAAUGUAAGUCCAUGUGUUGCGAGUUAAAAAAAGGAUUACAGCAAUGAUAACACCAAUUGCAGCACCUAAAUUGAUAGAAACGUGCGUAGCUAGCUUAGCGAGUUUCGUAUUUCCAGCACCAAUUAAAUUUCCUACUCUUGUGGCAGCUGCAGCAGCGACACCGAAAGCCAAAUUAUAAGAAAGGGUCGAGGUAGUAGACAAAACAGACAUAGAGGCUAAUUCAGUGGUACCCAACACGCCCGAUGCGAAAGUAACGAGUUCAAAAGCCCAGUACUCACUGCAAAUCAUAAUUACACCAGGAACAGCCAAUCGACAUAACGGGCCCCAAUUUUUUAAUGCUUCUCUACUAAAACCUCCCCAUGCUUGUCGUCCGUUUACCUUCAUAAUAUAGAUAAUUAGAACAGCACAAGCACUCCAUAGCGUUAAUGCUACAGCGACCGGUGCACCUAGAAAACCGAAACCAACCCAGGGACUCCACACAAAAAGGUAAUUAAGAAAAAUAUUAAUAGGUACAACAAUUGCUAAAAUGUAUGUUACAGGAUGAAAUAUACCUUGCACCUGAAGGAAACGUUUUAGUGCUUCAAAUAAUGCGUAUGCCGGACUAGCCAACAUCAUUACUCGCAUAUACUUUGCCGCAAACAUACAAGUAAGAGGAUCCUGUCUAAGGAAUAAAAGUAUGCCCUCUAUUUUCCACCAUAUCAAGAAAAUAGGGAAUUGUAUCAACAACAAUAUGGCCAGAAUCCUCUGUAAAUGUAAACCCACCAUUUCGUAAUUUCCAGAUCCGAAACUUUGAGUUCCAACGGUAUCCAAAGCAGAUACAAUCCCCUGAUAAAUAGCAAAAGCCGUAAUUGUGGCAGUCAUGUUAGACAGACUUGCAGCCGCAAGCUCUGUUUUACCCAAGUGGCCCAAAGAGAAAACAGUAGUAACCACCUCACCAUACUGAAGUAAAGACGUUAAUACAACAGGGGUUGCGAAUUUAAUAAGUAAUGUUAAUUCUUUCCACCAUGCCUUGCUAUUAAAGUCUUCUUGUACUGAAAGGCCACUCGCAAUAGAUUCGUUUUCUUCUGUUUCCUCUAAAGCGCCAUAUGAUACAUCAGUCGCAGGUCUUUGUACCCUAGGUGUAGGCUUUCUUAAGGAAGUAGUGGGUCUUUCUUGUGGAAUAGGUGAAACUUCCGAAGCUGCGGUGUCAAGAAAUUGGGGUCUUGACAAACCGUAAACAAGACUCGAUCUUCUUCGUUUAGGCUUAUAAGAUCCUAAUAAAGGAUCAUUUUCCCCUUCCAUUAUGGAUAUGUCUGAUAAAGUUAAAGGAAAAGGGGGUCAAGUUUAAAAAACUUGUGGAUGCUAGUAAAGUUUGUGAGGCCAACCGGGCACAGCUUAUAUAGUGACAUAUUACACAACCAAAAUUUCCCUCAGUUAUAAAAACGUAGUAUAUUAAAACAAGUCAAUACAUUGAACGUUAAUUUAUUGAAUUUAAAAGCAUUCAAAUAUUUAGUUAAUAGAGGUGGUGAAUCCCAUGAAAAAAUCAACAAUAGAUUGAAUUAGCGAACGGAAUGAUUCAAAUGUACAUUGUUCACCUUCGGAUAUACCCUGAAUAGUGCAAGAUUUUAGUUUUUUUUUUUUAAAUAAAUGCUUUAAAGUCCAACUAACAAUGACCUAAAUUAACCAAAAUUUCCAAUCUUAAUAUAAAUAGUCUAGUCAACUAACUUUGAUAAUCAACAGCUUUUUUGUGUCGCAGAGACAUACUAUGCGAGCUGGUAACUAAGUUCCUUUUUGUAUUAAUUUCCUUUUCUUUCUCUAGUUUCAAUUCACGAUUAACUUUAUGUCUACAAGGCCAAGGUAAUGAAAAGAGUUUAGAAUGUCUAAUACAUUUCGGACAAAAUGCACUCGAAUUUUGAAUGUCUUCAUUAAUAAAUGUCUGGCUACAGUUUGAGCAUUGGUAAACCUUUCUUUUUCCAUGUCUUUUUUUCCAUAGAUCUUCACGAAAUUUUCGAUAAUCAUCCACAUUCAGUAACGGACUAUGGUUCGUUAUGGCCAUCUCAGACAAAAGCCUUUUUUCUCGAGACCACACCCUUUUUUUGUGCCUUGGUAUAAAUAGUGAAAACUCCUCAUCCAAAUCAGAACUGGACGCAUCACUCAGUUCACCACCUGAAUCCCAAAUAUUCAAGAAGCUACGAUCUUCCUCGGAAAUCACGUAACGAUUUGACUGCGGCAAAGAAGACAGAUCGGAAACAUCAGAACUACUCUUGGAAGAACAACUUGUUGAAGUAGCACUAGUAUGGAAAAGCUUUUUAAAACCAUUGAUGCCCAUUCGUUCACAUGAGACACAAAGGCAUUCACAAUUUUCAAGGCCAAAGUAAUUAGAAGAAUAAAAGGUAGUAAUUUCUUCACCUGGUUUUAUGUCUCUUACACAGCGCAGCCAAAUGCGCUUACCAGAAGUGUUAAAUCGACAGUUAGCAUUGCAGUCAUGAUUAACGAAUCGUGCAGGGCCCAAAAAUAGACACAUCGAAUCUAAGCGGCUUGAAUGAAGGAUGCUAAAGUCUUUUCCAAUUCCUAUAUUCCGCUCUUCUUUAGGAGAUAACUUAAUAAUUGUUCCACAGAGGUCUGUAAUAUCUUCUCCAGCAUUAAUUGAUUCACGCGCUAUUACGCAAGCUUCAGGCUUUGAGGAAGAAAAGUAUUGGUUUGUUGAACAAAUUUCAAAUUUGCAUGAUGGUAGAUAUAAUGAGAGGUAGUACUUCAGAUGUCGAGUAAAUGCUAGUAAAGAAGUGCUUGACAAUCUCCGCAACAAUGGAUCAAGUUCACGAAAUUGCAGAAUAUUUUUUGCCGCUUGGUCAAGGUCUGUUUGCUCUAUAAUAUAUUUGGUUAUAAUAUUUAUAAUAGAACAGCUUUCCAUUCGCUCAAUUGAUCGAUCCACUAAUUUUCGUACUUUAUGAAUUUGGGACCAAUAAAACACCUUGUCAACUAGCAAACAAGUACAAACAUCGUCAAAAAGAGAAAACGUUUCAAGAUGAGUAUUCGUCU
rnacentral:lncRNA from 1 species